AUUGAACGCUGGCGGCAGGCCUAACACAUGCAAGUCGAGCGGAUGAAGGGAGCUUGCUCCUGGAUUCAGCGGCGGACGGGUGAGUAAUGCCUAGGAAUCUGCCUGGUAGUGGGGGAUAACGUCCGGAAACGGGCGCUAAUACCGCAUACGUCCUGAGGGAGAAAGUGGGGGAUCUCCGGACCUCACGCUAUCAGAUGAGCCUAGGUCGGAUUAGCUAGUUGGUGGGGUAAAGGCCUACCAAGGCGACGAUCCGUAACUGGUCUGAGAGGAUGAUCAGUCACACUGGAACUGAGACACGGUCCAGACUCCUACGGGAGGCAGCAGUGGGGAAUAUUGGACAAUGGGCGAAAGCCUGAUCCAGCCAUGCCGCGUGUGUGAAGAAGGUCUUCGGAUUGUAAAGCACUUUAAGUUGGGAGGAAGGGCAGUAAGUUAAUACCUUGCUGUUUUGACGUUACCAACAGAAUAAGCACCGGCUAACUUCGUG
rnacentral:rRNA from 1 species